CAGCCGCCGCGGUAAUACGUAGGUGGCAAGCGUUGUCCGGAAUUAUUGGGCGUAAAGGACUCGCAGGCGGUUUCUUAAGUCUGAUGUGAAAGCCCCCGGCUCAACCGGGGAAGGUCAUUGGAAACUGGGAAACUUGAGUGCAGAAGAGGAGAGUGGAAUUCCACGUGUAGCGGUGAAAUGCGUAGAGAUGUGGAGGAACACCAGUGGCGAAGGCGACUCUCUGGUCUGUAACUGACGCUGAGGAGCGAAAGCGUGGGGAGCGAACAGGAUUAGAUACCCGAGUAGUCCCUGUCUCUUAUAC
rnacentral:rRNA from 1 species